ensembl:lncRNA
GGCGCUCAGCCGCCGCCGCCGCCGCGGCCCGGGGCUCAGCGGUCCAGUCUUCUGCCCGCGGCGCGGCUGGAGCGGCGGCGUCGGCAACAGACCAGGAGACCUCGAUCUCACCCUGACGGUAAGAUCAAAAGUCUCCGCUCGCCCCCAGCCUGCGGGCUUGGGCUCGGUCCAGACGCCUCCCUGAAUGCAGAUGUGCUGCCGCCGUCCUCCGGGGCUAUAAAGCCGCCUCCUGCGCCUUGGCGUGCGCAGGAGCGCACGGAGUUGCGGGAUGCGGACCCUGGGCGGUUGCGGGGAGUUGGAGUCUAGCUGCAGCUGGGCCCCGGGCUGGCCUCGUGCGUGGGGCGGGCGCGUGGCGCGGAGUUGGUGCCUGCGGCCGCAGAGGCCAGAGCAACUGCCCCUCCAGGCCCGGGAGACGCGGCCGUGGGGCGUGAAACGCUUCUUGCGAAGGAGAAAACGACGUUUAUUCUGUCACAGUUCCAGAGGCCAGAGGUCUGAAAUCAGCAUGAAGUCAGGGGCCAGAUCAGGGUGUCACCAUGGUCUUCUUCCAGCAGGAAGCUCUGCGGG